UACGUAGGGUGCGAGCGUUGUCCGGAAUUAUUGGGCGUAAAAGAGCUUGUAGGCGGUUUGUCGCGUCUGCUGUGAAAACCCGAGGCUCAACCUCGGGCCUGCAGUGGGUACGGGCAGACUAGAGUGCGGUAGGGGAGAUUGGAAUUCCUGGUGUAGCGGUGGAAUGCGCAGAUAUCAGGAGGAACACCAAUGGCGAAGGCAGAUCUCUGGGCCGUAACUGACGCUGAGGAGCGAAAGCAUGGGGAGCGAACAGG
rnacentral:rRNA from 1 species